GAUGAACGCUGGCGGCGUGCCUAAUACAUGCAAGUCGAGCGAACGGACGAGAAGCUUGCUUCUCUGAUGUUAGCGGCGGACGGGUGAGUAACACGUGGAUAACCUACCUAUAAGACUGGGAUAACUUCGGGAAACCGGAGCUAAUACCGGAUAAUAUUUUGAACCGCAUGGUUCAAAAGUGAAAGACGGUCUUGCUGUCACUUAUAGAUGGAUCCGCGCUGCAUUAGCUAGUUGGUAAGGUAACGGCUUACCAAGGCAACGAUGCAUAGCCGACCUGAGAGGGUGAUCGGCCACACGGGAACUGAGGCACGGUCCAGACUCCUACGGGAGGCAGCAGUAGGGAAUCUUCCGCAAUGGGCGAAAGCCUGACGGAGCAACGCCGCGUGAGUGAUGAAGGUCUUCGGAUCGUAAAACUCUGUUAUUAGGGAAGAACAUAUGUGUAAGUAACUGUGCACAUCUUGACGGUACCUAAUCAGAAAGCCACGGCUAACUACGUG
rnacentral:rRNA from 1 species